GAUCAUGGCUCAGGAUGAACGCUAGCGACAGGCUUAACACAUGCAAGUCGAGGGGCAGUGGGGGUAGCAAUACCCGCCGGCGACCGGCGCACGGGUGAGUAACGCGUAUGCAACUUACCUAUCAGAGGGGGAUAACCCGGCGAAAGUCGGACUAAUACCGCAUGAAGCAGGGAUCCCGCAUGGGAAUAUUUGCUAAAGAUUCAUCGCUGAUAGAUAGGCAUGCGUUCCAUUAGG
rnacentral:rRNA from 1 species